GUUUAAUUGUCAUUUGUUCCAUGUUUGCAAUGUGUUCUGAUUCUUUGUAAAUAUUUUUUAGGGUAAAUUUAUUUCUGUUUGAUGUGAUGCUGUUCUAAUCUUAUUUUAAUUGUCUUUUGUUUAUACUGUAUCUUUUCUGUGGUAAUCUGUUAUGUAAUAGGGAAAUGUGUGUUAACACCUGAGCAAACAUCCAACCUCAUAUCUUCUUGCAAAUUCUUUGACCUGACAAUUAAACCAUCCUGAUCUAACUUUCGGCCCUAUAUUUUAAUUUUGCUAAAUAUGUGUCAGUGAACAAAAUCCUCAAAGUCACACAUAAUGAGUUCAUAUUAAUUUCAUAGUAAUUUAAAUAAUUUAAUUACCCCUGAUUUCUUUCAGAACACACUGUUUGAACUCAUGAUAUGUAAAAUUAAGGAUUUAGUGCUCACAUUAUUAUCAACCUAAUUUUUCCUGCUAUCACCUAUCUUGUAAAUAAACUCCUGGGAAAUACUGUGUAGCAAUGCCAUUGGUAUCCAUGUUUGAAUUAAACAUAAAUCAUAAUUUAAUUGCAACUUUUAUUUUAUAUAUAUACAUCACGAUUAUAAUUUGGCCCUUGGGGAAACUACUCAGCUAAAAAAUUUAAUUUUUUGCUCCAUGCCUAAACCAAGAGCCUAGCUAUGUGCAUACUGAAAAGUAGCAAAGUAUAGACCCCUGGCUUGACAUCACAC
rnacentral:lncRNA from 1 species